rnacentral:rRNA from 1 species
AUUGAACGCUGGCGGCAUGCCUUACACAUGCAAGUCGAACGGUAACAGGUCUUCGGAUGCUGACGAGUGGCGAACGGGUGAGUAAUACAUCGGAACGUGCCUAGUAGUGGGGGAUAACUACUCGAAAGAGUGGCUAAUACCGCAUGAGAUCUACGGAUGAAAGCGGGGGAUCGCAAGACCUUGUGCUACUAGAGCGGCCGAUGGCAGAUUAGGUAGUUGGUGGGAUAAAAGCUUACCAAGCCGACGAUCUGUAGCUGGUCUGAGAGGACGAUCAGCCACACUGGGACUGAGACACGGCCCAGACUCCUACGGGAGGCAGCAGUGGGGAAUUUUGGACAAUGGGCGAAAGCCUGAUCCAGCAAUGCCGCGUGCAGGAUGAAGGCCUUCGGGUUGUAAACUGCUUUUGUGCGGAACGAAAAGCCCCGGGUUAAUACCCUGGGGUCAUGACGGUACCGUAAGAAUAAGCACCGGCUAACUACGUGCCAGCAGCCGCCGUAA